GUGCCUAAGUGAGGCUGGAAAGGAAAGCGUUGGAAAACAUGCUAAACCCAGAGGGCACCAAGGCCGCGUCAUGACAGUAAGAGCCGUCAAGUACUGUGUCCUUUCCCUCAGUUCUCAAUCUCUCACAGCUUGAGGCUUGAGAAUUAGCAGCUGGCUACGAGAGGUGGAGGAGAGAAAAUGGUGAAGUCCAUGCCUUCCUCCUUGGUACCGAGUUUCCAAACCUGAAGUGAAGGAGUCUGAGAGGGGAGAAGCUUCAGUAUGAAAGUUUUCAAGACGCCUACAAGUGGAAAAUGCACUCCUCCCAGCCAAAUCAAGCUUCGCCAGAUUCCUUACAGCUGUGUGCAGUGAAAUGACUAAUGAAAGAGCCCUCUGCUGCUGGUGGAACUUUCACAUAUGGCACUGUUAUGCCACUCAGCAGGACCCGACCCUGGUAUUUACAUAUUGGAUGUCACCCCAAAAGCCCCUGACCAGGGGGUUUCCGGGAUGUAAUAAGAAUGCCACUCUGGGCUUUGGAAGGUGCACCGUAUGCACACCCAUACUAUAGGGCAGGGGUUAGCAUUUCAGACCCCUGUUCCUCCCUUGACAAGCAAGUGCUUUUCUCCAGGGAAGACGUUCAGGUUCAUUCAUAGAUCCAUUGGUGCCGUGGGCAGCUCAGUAACAAUAGCUCUGCUGCCUACCAGCUGCUGGUGGAGGUGUUGAGAAUACCUAAUGAGGAAGUCAGGGCCCCUGCGUGCUUCAGCAGAGCUGGAUGCCUGGCAUGGCAAUCAAUGGACACAAACCUUUGGAUAAUUUCCGUCCUUGGCGGUGUGUUCUAUAGCAUAGGUAUGAAGUGGGUGCUCUGGGAGCUCAGAAGAGGGGCUCUUCUCUUAACUUAUGGGUGGCCAGGGAAGGCUUCCUGGAGCUCAAAUGACUGAGUGGAGUCUUCAACAUUAAAAAAAAAAAAAAGAAAAAAAAAGUGCUUCCCUCCCACCCCCAGUUAAAAAGGUAAUACACCUCAUUGAAAUAAUUUAAACUUUACAGAAAUGUGUUCCUUUAAAGUUCAGAGAGUAAAGAGGAAGUAAUAAAGCUGAAAUAGUAGAAUUUCUAA
ensembl:lncRNA PRDX6-AS1 PRDX6 antisense RNA 1